rfam:Salmo salar isolate Sally breed double haploid chromosome ssa10, whole genome shotgun sequence.
UGACUCAGUUGGUAGAGCAUGGUGUUUGCAACGCCAGGGUUGUGGGUUCGAUUCCCAC